ACCAAAUGCUCCUCCCUCUUCCGGAAUGUCGAGUUCGCAAUCAGGAGCUCGGAAGCCCUGGCGAAAUCAACCAGCGAAGUGCCUCCUCCGUUCCUGGAACCAAAGCCAAAGCCCCCGUGCACCUCAUCAUAUCCACCAGCCUCAGCCCCAAUAUGGCCAUUAAAGUCCCCUCUAAUAGCUAACUUCUCAGACUGGGGAAUACUCCCCAC
rnacentral:lncRNA from 1 species